rnacentral:rRNA from 1 species
UACAGAGGGGGCAAGCGUUGUUCGGAAUUACUGGGCGUAAAGGGCGCGUAGGCGGCCUGCUAAGUCGAACGUGAAAUCCCUGGGCUCAACCCAGGAACUGCGUCCGAUACUGGUUGGCUUGAAUCCGGGAGAGGGAUGCGGAAUUCCAGGUGUAGCGGUGAAAUGCGUAGAUAUCUGGAGGAACACCGGUGGCGAAGGCGGCAUCCUGGACCGGCAUUGACGCUGAGGCGCGAAAGCCAGGGGAGCAAACG